rnacentral:rRNA from 1 species
GACGAACCGUGCGAGCGUUGUUCGGAAUCACUGGGCUUAAAGGGCGCGUAGGCGGGCUGACAAGUCUGGGGUGAAAUGCCGCGGCUCAACCGUGGAACUGCCUUAGAUACUGUCGGCCUCGAGGAAGGUAGGGGCAUGCGGAACUGUAGGUGGAGCGGUGAAAUGCGUUGAUAUCUACAGGAACUCCGGUGGCGAAGGCGAGGUGCUGGACCCUUUCUGACGCUGAGGCGCGAAAGCCAGGGGAGCGAACGGG